UUUUGGUUUUAUGAAAAAUGUUUAAGUUACUGGACCAUACACAAUCGAUUGUCAAAACCAGACAAUCGAUUGUAUUGUAUAAUUUAAAACGUUUCAACUCACUGGACCAUGACAAUCGAUUGUCUGGAUCUGACAAUCGAUUGUCUGGUGUUCCAAAAAAAACUGCCAGAAUACUAAAAGUCACCGACAAUGGAUUGUUUAAGGCAACAAUCGAUU
rnacentral:lncRNA from 1 species